AUCACUGUAUCAGAGGACUGAUACAGGCAAACAGGAGAAAAAAGAGAAUAGUAGGACUUUGUUCUGACUGAAAUGUGAGUUAUAGUUCUACAAAUGCUACAGCAGAGCUUUUAAAGCCACAGAGAUGCUUUAAGACUGCCAUGCAAGCUCUAUCAAGUAUAGUCAUCCAAUUUUGCUUUUCAACAGGUGGUUUUGAGCUUUUACAUCUGUGGUUCUCUGUCCACCUCAGAUGUCUGUCUGUCUCAGGGCUGUCACCCUUUCAUGAGAAUAUAGAAUAUGUUUAACAUCAUGUUAAUUCCAAUUCUUUGUUUUUAAACAAGCAGUUUUCUAGAGAAAAGAAAGAUGGCCAUUUGGGUGUAUUAAGGACAUCUGCACUGCCCCUUUGCAUAAGCCAAGGCAUUCCUGUACUGGGUGGGGUGUGAUAAGAUAAAGAGAGAGUAAAAGAAUGAAGUACUGAUGAAUACUGUUAAAGAUAUACAAACUACAGAAAGAGGGGACCAAAGCCAAAAACAUCAACGCCUGUGAUCAGGCCAGCCAAAACCAUGCGCACAGGUCACAGGGACCUUUAAGGAGCUGCUGUGGUCUGAGCUAAGAGUCUGAAAGGAAUAUGGCUAAAAGGUGAUUUUAUUUGUUUUCUCUUAUAGAAUUGUCCCUUUAAAGCAGAAUCAACAUGUCAGGCUGCUUAAGUGUAGAAUUGUGUAUAAAUGAACAGAAAUAUGGUAAUGACAAAAUUUCUCUGACACCACCAUCUAUCCAAACACUUGAGAGCAGCAAUUCUGUGGAUAAGGGGAGGGGAAUGAGGUGGGUGUUGGGGGUAGGUACAUAUAUGAGCACAGUAUAAAAAUAUACAGGCACGAAAAUGCCAUAGGAAGCCAAUUUUGUACAUUAAUUAAAAGUCACAAAAGUACCACUACGUCCACUGGGGGGCAGUAGUGUGUUGCAGCACUGUGUGGAUUCCCUCUACCCUUGUAGGAUCAAAAGUAUACCCUACGGGUGACAUCUUAAGGUGGCACAAGGUAGGCUGGUUUGGGAGUCCUCAGUAUUUACAGAUUUCACAGAUCAAAUCUGUAAAAAUUUCAAGCCUCUGCCGUGCCUGCAGUAAGACUUGUUUUAAUUUUAAAACAGUGUCUGUGUGUGGUGCAGGCAUGUGUGGUGAACUCGCUGAGUGGCUUCCUCUAUGGCUCUCGCUUUGUAAGAAAGUUUAAGAUUCCAUUUCUUUCUUUUUUUUUUUUUUUUCUUUUUUUCGGACCUGGGGACCGAACCCAGGGCCUUGCGCUUGCUAGGCAAGCGCUCUACCACUGAGCUAAAUCCCCAACCCCAAGAUUCCAUUUCUUUAUCUGAGUAUAAGCAAAGGUGUGCACGUUUGGAGGGCCCUGGAGAGCAAACUCAAGUGGUCAGGUUUAGCAGCGUCUUAGGGCUGAGCAAGCUCACCUCCUCCUCUAACUGUUUCUUCAGACAGGGCUCUUCCUGAGAAGAGCCUCUUCCUGAGAAGAGCUUGCAGUUUUGGCUGGACUGGCUGGCCAAAGAGCCCUCAGGAUUCCCUGACUCCACACUCCCAGGGCUGGGGUUACAGAUACACACCAGCUUUUAUGUGGACACUGGGAAUCUUAACCUGGGCUCCUCACGUUUGCAGAGCACUUUGUUAACUGAGCCAUCGUCCGGGAACCAAGGUUUGUUUUAAAAUCUCAGAGGGGGCCAAACCAAGGAGCCCCCCACGAUCAUCUGUUAAAUGUAAUUAACCUGACGGGUGCUUACACAUCCAUCCCACCUGAUUCCCCGACACUCCAUUUGUACGAAACCUCUUCCCCAGAGACCCUGCGUCAGGGUGAUUUGGGCAAACAGGAGUCCCACAGCCACAUGUAUACGCCUGUGUGAUGGUCAGGACAUGUGAGGCAGAAGAUGGGUCAGAUGCACAGUCUCACAGGCUGACUCCAUUUCCAAGGCUGACUCCAUUUUGGAACCAAAAUCCAUAUUUUUACUUUGACUUUCCCCGCUUCUGGAUUACAAUACAAAUCCAGAAAACCAGUAAGUUUGGGGAUAUAAACGAACAGGAAACGACAAGUAAUCUUUCCUGAUGAAAGGGGUCCUCAAAUGGGGGUGUAGCAUCUUAGCUAUGGUAACUAAUGCCGUGUGGCUUUAUGAGGGGUCAAUGUACUUUAUGUAAAAAGUGUAAGAAGUGAUCAGUAGUCAGUUGUUCCCAUUUAACUGCUAAGAAGGUUUCCUCACAGGCUCAGGGGCACCGACUAAAGAAUCGUAUUCUGUGGCAGAAUGAUGUACAGUUCGCUAGCUCCCCUGCUCCACACAAGGAAACAAACACGGUCAGAGCUAUCUCUACCUGUGGCCAUGAUCCACGAGGCACAAGCCCACACGAGAGUAGCACGGCCUCAGCUUUCCUUCUCUGGGGAAGAGUAAGUGCCGGCUGGCUGUGAACUGGCACGAAGUAUGCAGCCGCACACUGUGAAACACCCGAACACGUAACUAACCAUGCCUGUGCCCCUUCUAAGGACAUCGAGACAGCUGGCUUCAGGCAGGAACUUACAUUGGAGCCUGUUUGGUUGCAGUAAACAUUCAUUACGGCAGACCGCCGUCUCAGAUGACCUACUAAGAUACACUGCUUUCAGAAACGCGAGUGUUCCACAGGCAGCAUACAGGGUGGAUAUUCCAAGGAUUUAGGGAAAGCACAGUCAAGGCCUACAGAAGAUGGGCCUUGUCACAGGCCUCUGCUGCCCCCUGCUGGCCAAGCUGAGGUCUGACAAAAAGGGAAGAAAUGGCCAUGGAGAGAAGUGAAGGAAGUUCACUUCAGCCUCUGCUUAUCCCUGACAGGCUGCUCACCUAUGGACUCUACCCCAUGUUGGCUGGGGCAACAGAAGGCGUUGUACUUACUGCUAUGUGAGUCUUUGUUUUGCUUUGUUUUUUUUGCAAAGGGGCAUGCAUGGCCCCAAGCUUCCACUGAACAGAGAUGAACAGUUAGGUAUGCAUGCACAGUCAUACACAGUGCACACACGGAUACAGUAAGAAAGUCAUUCUCUUAGCAUGUUUUUGGCCAAGUUCCACGUGCUGAAACAAGUGGUGGAGGGAAAGAGUAAAAGGCACCUCAUAAGAACUAGAGGUCAGGGAGAAAGACUGAGUCCUGGAAGACACUGCCAUUUAGCUACGGGAGAAGAGACUCACAAGAGGAGGGACUGGAGAAGCACAGGGAAGGGGAGGAAUCAGAGGGCAGGACGUUCUGACAACUCAGGAGGAGACGUGGCUGAGGACAGGAUGCCACUGAGAACUGACGGGAGGAAGGACGGAGGCAGCGUACCAGCUUCUCCGUGGGCUGCAAGAAGGGAGAAGAGAAAGCAGCCCAGCUCACUGUCACUGGGAGCAGCUGGCAGUCUCCCUCCUGUAACUCAAGCUCCUGCUGAGGCAUCCAUCUGCACCGGGAGGCUGACGGUGUCUGCCUCUGAGAAAGAGCCUUCCUCUGCUUGUGUAAAAAUCCUCCAGUGUCUGCGUUCAUCUCCACAGGCUGUAAACUACUCUGUGUAUAGCCAGAGAGGUGACAGCCAGCGGCGCAGCAUGUCAUGGGGACUGCGUUCUACUGCACAGGGAAACAGGGAAUGACAGUAAAGACCACAGACCCUGGGCUUCCUCUGCUUUAACCCCGUGUUCAUUGAGCUAAGCGGCAAAGGGCUGAAAACACAAGUGUUACAGCCCCAAGUGAACGGUAGAGGUGCAUGCUGCAGCUAAGUGUGAGAGGCUCUCAGUCCCGAAGGCGGCUGAUGUGACCCUGACCCUGGCUUAAGUGAAGCCUUGUGAGAUGCCCCUGUUGCGCUUAACUUUGUUGCUAAGGUGAGGGAAGCUGCUGGACUGGUUUGUUGCUUUAUUUUAUUUUAUUUUAUUUUGCUUUUGGAGACAGGGCCUCACCGCGCAACCUUGGCUGACCUUGAGUUCAAUGUAUAGAGCAGUCUGGCCUUGAGCAAGCCUCAGAGAUCCGUCCCUCUCCCUCUCCCUCUCCCUUAUGAGUGCUAGUUUUAGAGGAGCAUGCCACCACACCUGACACGCUGCUGUGCCUUUGAGCUCUCACUUGUGCGACCUUUCAAAUACAAGGUGGUGGGGACAUUGUUUAUACACUGAGCCUGCACGAAGAAAAGGCAUGACAACCAGAGUGGGUGGACCCCGUGGUUAGAGGUGGUGGGAAGAACCAUGAAUUAAAGACCGUGCCAGGGAUGAGAAGAGAUGAAUUUCUAAGAACUAGCUAUGCCAUGCUUGGAGAGAGAAGGACGGCCUCGAGAAAGCAACAGGGAUGGAAGUCAGACUCCGAGGAUGACUGUAUUAAUUGUUCACAUGCCGCAGGGCCGGUGCCUUCAGGUUUUCUAUUUUGAGAAACCCUGGGGAAGAGUCAGACACCGGAACGUCUAGCAGGGGCACAUGAAGGAGUCACAUGGUGACUGACAGAAGUAAAUUAGGAAGAUGGAGCCUCGGACUAGCAGAUCUCUCCCAUGAGGUUAGGCAGGCCCCGCAGUUAGGCAAGAUGAAUGGAAAGGUCUGGUUUGCGAGUGAAGCAGCCCCAACCUGAUUAAAUCUUACCAUUGUCUACAGAAAUCCCAAGCACACUUGAUAUCUUUCUCACACUGAAAACACAGAAAAAGUCACUUUGUUACUGGAUGCUUUUCCACACCUCACACAUCGGUUCGUGGGCUUAACAUUCUUUUGCAGGCGGAAUGUCAGAAUGUGGGUGCUCGACCAAUUACAUGCACCAAGCAAGAGAGGCAAACGGAUCUGACCCAGGUGUGCCAGGAGGAAAAGAGGGUAAAAUAAAAUCAAUGAAGUGUGCGUGCAUUGAAUUCUCAAAUGUGGGACAACGUCUGGCUACUGGAGCUGCUGGAGUUGCCUGGAGUUUGGGCACUUUGGGUGCUGUAGCUGAUUGGGCUCCACAUUCUGUCACCCCCACUGCUCAGGACUCUCCUCCAAGGAGGGAACUCUUCUUCCUAUUUGUUUUGCUCUGGAAGAAAAAUCAAGUUGGUGGCGUGGUACAGCGUGGCCGGGGUUCUCC